AUACCUUUCUUGGCCUUUUGGCUAGGAUCAGGUGUAGUAUUUGUUCUUAUCAGUUUAAUAUCUGAUAUGUGGGCCAUUGGCUCACACAAUAUUAAAUUUAUUUUUUGAAGGUGAAGAUCCAUCAAAAUGGGUUGCUACUUGGGUCUUCAAACGUCGCCCAUGUGUUGCACUAAUACACGGACCUGACGCACCGCCA